GCAAUGCCGCGUGCAGGAUGAAGGCCUUCGGGUUGUAAACUGCUUUUGUACGGAACGAAACGGUGAGCUCUAAUACAGCUUGCUAAUGACGGUACCGUAAGAAUAAGCACCGGCUAACUACGUGCCAGCAGCCGCGGUAAUACGUAGGGUGCGAGCGUUAAUCGGAAUUACUGGGCGUAAAGCGUGCGCAGGCGGUGAUGUAAGACAGAUGUGAAAUCCCCGGGCUCAACCUGGGACCUGCAUUUGUGACUGCAUCGCUAGAGUACGGUAGAGGGGGAUGGAAUUCCGCGUGUAGCAGUGAAAUGCGUAGAUAUGCGGAGGAACACCGAUGGCGAAGGCAAUCCCCUGGACCUGUACUGACGCUCAUGCACGAAAGCGUGGGGAGCAAACAGGAUUAGAUACCCUGGUAGUCCACGCCCUAAACGAUGUCAACUGGUUGUUGGGUCUUCACUGACUCACUAACGAAGCUAACG
rnacentral:rRNA from 1 species